rnacentral:rRNA from 1 species
UCAAGUUACAAAGGGCGCAGGGCGGAUGCCUUGGCACCAGGAGCCGAAGAAGGACGUGAUAAGCUGCGAAAAGCUGCGGGGAGGAGCAAAUAUCCAUUGAUCCGCAGGUAUCCGAAUGGGGAAACCCGGCAGAAAGAACUUCUGUCACCGUAUGAUGAAUCCAUAGUCAUACGGAGGGAACCCGGCGAACUGAAACAUCUAAGUAGCCGGAGGAAGAGGAAGAAACAUCGAAUCCCUAAGUAGUGGCGAGCGAAAGGGGACGAAGCCCAAACCAAGGAUUUAUCCUUGGGGUAGAGGACCACAUACGAAGAAGCAGUAGGUAGCAGAACGGUUUUGGGAAAGCCGGCCAAAGAGAGUGAAAGCCUCGUAUGCGAAACAGACUGUGAUUCAGUGGUAUCCGGAGUACUACGGGACACGAGAAACCCCGUAGGAAGCAGGGGGGACCACCCCCCAAGGCGAAAUACUACCUGGUGACCGAUAGAGUAUAGUACCGUGAGGGAAAGGUGAAAAGAACCCCGGGAGGGGAGUGAAAGAGAACCUGAAACCCUGUGUCUACAAGCUGCGGAAGAGCGACUAACGCUCGACCGUGUACUUUUUGUAGAACGGUCCGGCGAGUUGCCGUUGCUGGCAGGUUAAGUACUUAAGGUACGGAGCCGAAGGGAAACCAAGUCUUAACAGGGCGGUAAGUCAGUAACGGCAGACCCGAAACCGGGUGACCUACCCAUGGCCAGGAUGAAGUCUGCGUAAAAGUGGAUGGAGGUCCGAACACACGUCUGUUGAAAAAGGCGGUGAUGAGCUGUGGGUAGCGGAGAAAUUCCAAUCGAACUCGGAGAUAGCUGGUUCUCCCCGAAAUAGCUUUAGGGCUAGCCUCGGUAUAGUCUAAUGGAGGUAGAGCACUGAAUCGCUGCGGGGGCGUCAAAGUCUACCAAUGCGUAUCAAACUCCGAAUGCCAUAUAGAUGUUUACCGGGAGUCAGACUGUAUGAGAUAAGUCGGACAGUCAAAAGGGAAACAGCCCAGACCAUCUGCUAAGGUCCCAAAGUGUAUGUUAAGUGGUAAAGGAUGUGGGGUUUCGAAGACAACUAGGAUGUUGGCUCAGAAGCAGCCAUUCAUUCAAAGAGUGCGUAAUAGCUCACUAGUCGAGAGGUCCUGCGCCGAAAAUGUCCGGGGCUGAAACAUAACACCGAAGCAAUGGAAUAUACCGUAAGGUAUGUUGGUAGGGGAGCAUUGAUAACACGAAGAAGCGGUACCGUAAGGAGCCGUGGAGAGUUAUCAAGAGAGAAUGCCGGAAUGAGUAGCGAGAUGAAGGUGAGAAUCCUUCAGGCCGUAUAUCCAAGGUUUCCAGGGUAAAGCUGAUCUUCCCUGGGGAAGUCGGGACCUAAGCUCAGGCUGAGAAGCGUAGGCGAUGGACAACUGGUUGAUAUUCCAGUACCUCUGGCUGUCAGAAAUGUGGGGACACGGAAAUUCAGGAAGUGCCUGUAAAGGAUUCAGGUGCAAGCAUGGUUUAUGCCGGGCAGGCAAAUCCGCCCGGGUAAGUGGACUGUGUGAUGCGGACCGAAAUAUAAGUAGGGAAGCUUCUGGGAGAGCCGUCGAGAAAAGCCGCUAUUGUGCAGCCAGAGCCCGUACCGUAAACCGACACAGGUGGAUGGGGAGAGUAUCCCAAGGCCGGCGGGAGAAGCAUUGUUAAGGAACUCGGCAAAAUGGCCCCGUAAGUUCGCGAUAAGGGGUGCCUGUAGAGAUACAGGCCGCAGAGAAUAGGCUCAAGCAACUGUUUAGCAAAAACACAGGUCUAUGCGAAACCGUAAGGUGAUGUAUAUGGGCUGACGCCUGCCCGGUGCUGGAAGGUUACGGGGAGUGCUUAGGAGCAAUCCGAAGGUACGAACUUAAGCCCCAGUAAACGGCGGCCGUAACUAUAACGGUCCUAAGGUAGCGAAAUUCCUUGUCGGGU